UACGAAGGGGGCUAGCGUUGCUCGGAAUCACUGGGCGUAAAGCGCACGUAGGCGGAUCGUUAAGUCGGAGGUGAAAUCCUGGAGCUCAACUCCAGAACUGCCUUCGAUACUGGCGAUCUUGGAGUCCGGGAGAGGUGAGUGGAACUGCGAGUGUAGAGGUGAAAUUCGUAGAUAUUCGCAAGAACACCAGUGGCGAAGGCGGCUCACUGGCCCGAUACUGACGCUGAGGCACGAAAGCGUGGGAGCAAACAGG
rnacentral:rRNA from 1 species